rnacentral:rRNA from 1 species
GACGAACGCUGGCGGCGUGCUUAACACAUGCAAGUCGAACGAAGUGGCGAACGGGUUAGUAAUACGUGGGUACCCUGCCCUCCUUUUUGGGAUAAGCCUUGGAAACGGGGUCUAAUACCGAAUAAAGGGGGAUGGGCUCGCGGCCUAUCAGCUUGUUGGUGGGGUGAUGGCCUACCAAGGCGGUGACGGGUAGCCGGCCUGAGAGGGUGACCGGGAACAUUGGGACUGAGAAGCGGCCCAGACUACUACGGGAGGGAGCAGUGGGGGAUAUUGGAGAAUGGGCGAAAGCCUGAUGCAGCGACGCCGCGUGGGGGAUGAGGGCUUUCGGGUUGUAAACCUCGUUCGGAAGCGAACGGGUAGGUGGAGAAGAAGCGCCGACUAACUACGUGCCAGCAGCCGCGGUAAUUC